CGGUGCUCAGGCUCAUCUGCACCUGAUAUCCAGGGCGUUGGCUGAUGCGUUGGGAUUGGGAAAAGAAGGACAGACGCGUCAGAGCUGGUUCCACCGAAAAGUAAAAUAUAGUCCUUAUACGGGCGUGCGCAGUGGUGGGUGUGGGCCUAGUUCGUAGAUGGCGUGGGCUGUGUCCAUUACGGCAGUGUGCUGAGCCUAGGAACAGAACGUCGUCUUGAGAGCUGAGCCGUUCGUUCGUUAGUACGGGAAGUGGAUGAGAAACCAAGCCGUGUAGUUACUCAUAUCUCGCCGGGAGUUUGAUUUGAAACGGCGCGGCUGAUUCUACCGGCGACGAGCCCAUGGAGGCCAACGGAUUGGAGUUCCUGCUAGAUUUGAUCAACUUGUGCGGUACAGGCUCUUCACUGUCGUCGAUGCCGUUUUUAUUCUAAUUUGGAUCAUAGUUUCGUCACGAUUUUGACCACGGUGAUAUACUUUCUGAGUUGCUCCAGUUCCAGGUUCUCCCUUCAUGAGGAGUUUACCGAUAACCUGGAGCAUCCAGAUCCGGUGCCCCCUGCUGUGCUGCCGCGAUUUCGGAGAGAAUCAGGUCGUAGUGGAGGAAUGGAACUGUGCGUGAGGCUGCGCCCAAAGUGGUCGGCAGCCUAGCCUGCAGAGAAGUGGAACACUUCGCCUGUGCAGUCAGAGCAGUCCCCCGGGAAGGUGAAUCCGGCCCGAGCACCAGGAUAGAAGAGGAGAUGAACUGUUGAUAAUUUUCACUACUGAUUUGCAUUAGUAGUUGAGAAAAAUUUGCUGGGGCUACGUGCGUAUAAAUUUAAUUGUUUAGAUGUUUCAAUUACAACAUCUGUCGCUCAUCUAUGGUUGUGAAAUUUUGCUUUUGGUUUUUCAUUCCUUUUUGUGUGGGUGAGUCUCCAGCAAUGGAUUUUUGGUGUAGUCUUAAGCAAACUGAGUUAGCUGUUCAUUCGUUACAGGCUGCAGCUGGGCAGUGCUGAUGUAAAUGUUAAAUCACUUAAGCAAAUGUUUACAACUCAUUGACGGUUCCUGAUUCAGUUAAAUUAAAUGCUGAUGCACAUCAAUUUAUCAGCACAAACAUUUUUUGGGGACUGUUUUGUCCAGACAUAUGGUUCUCAUUUCCAAUAAAAUUUCGCGAAAAUUGCAUAUCUUUCAGUAGGCAUAAGAAUAUUUGUAUUUCGGUCAAAAUUGCAUUGGGGCAAAAUAUUUAAGUAAACGUGAAUUUUAGCAGAUUUAAAUAGAACACAAAUUUCAUCCAACUCUGGUUAUAUUUCAGUCAAAGUCAAGUCAGAUUUUUUUUCACUCGGCCAAACUGAACCGAAAUGACAAUGCGGUUGAUUUCAGUGAUGGCCCAAUUCUGAUCGCAAUCAAGAAAAUGAGCUGUGAUAAAACAUUCCAUAGAUCCAAAGUACAUUAUGGUCAACUGUAUUCCCUCGUCACAGAAUAUCAUUAGUGGAUUCUUAAGGAUUGCGACUUCUUUUAGUUAUCUUUAUUAUUAUUCUUUGUUGCGAUGGCUGCUACUGUGCAUUAUACUUUUCUUAAAACACUUGGUUCUUGGGUUGAUCCAUUAGGAUGAUGGUGCAGCAGCCAUUGUACUUAAGAACUUAAAGGCUGAUCUCGGCAAAUAUGCAACGAGGUUAUCAGAAUGAUUGCUGAUAUGUCUGAAGAUCAAACAUGCAUUGCCACCUGGGAUGUGCCUGAAACAGUUAAAGGGAAAAUGGUUUGCCUAUUCCUGUGACAAAAUUGAUGUGUGCAUGGGUCUUGUCCCUUAACAAAAUUGAUGUGCAAAUCCCAGCAGGUUCCAAUCAAGUUAACGGCUUUUCUUCUGGUACUUUGAUGGCUUGAUUAAUUAGGAGGAUCGAUGCCUGAAAACAGGAGUUCAUGUGGCAGAACAAAGAAGCAGAGAUGAAGAAGUGUCAAGAGAAAGGAACUCACAUGAGAAAUUCUGAAUCUUCAAGGCUCGUUUCAUGUAUUUCAUAUUUUGAACUGUUGAAGAUGUUAUUGUACUUUUUGGCUGUUAAUAUGUGUUUAGAAUAAUUAUUCACAGUAAAUUCUGUGUUUAGAAUAACUGUUGAAGAUGAUACAUGGGAUUCAGCUUCUAUGCCUAGAAUAAGUAUUCACAGUAAAAUCUGGAUGUGCAUAGCACAUAGCAGCUAGUAUGCAAAGUUGAUCAUGGUGCUACUGCAGGGGCUUGCACUGUUUUGUUCUCCGCUGAUCAUAUCAGCUUGUAAAAUCUAUACAGUAUAGUGGCCUUUUCUGACAGGUGUUUAGUUUAUAAAAAAGUUGGCCAACAAAAUUAUUCUGUAGCACGCCUAGACAUCUGUUGCUGGAACUCUUACCAGCUAGAGUGCAUAGUAGUGGGCAGCUAGUUGCAUAGCAAGAAUUAUUUUACACAAAGCAGUCCGCAUGGCACAGCAGGCAGGCAGAUGAACUAGCGGACGCAGACGUUGCUAAUCCUGCAAUUAGCGCUUGCGGAUGGUGCGGAAGAUGGCGGAGGCGCUGUAGACUUGUCCACUAGCACCCUGAAUCGCAAAUUUGGAACAGUCAAUCAAAAAAUUCGCAGACGAGCCAACGAAAAGUGUGAUUAAGCUUGAGAUAAGAAUGAGAGCUUCGAUUGGACACUAGGGCGGCAGGGAUGACGGGAAUGGGGGAGUGGUGUUAGGGGUCCGAGAGGAUAAGGACGGCCAU